rnacentral:rRNA from 1 species
AGUGGCGAACGGGUGAGUAACGCGUGAGGAACCUGCCUCUCACAACGGGAUAGCCUCGGGAAACCGGGAUUAAUACCGUAUGACACUAUCAGAUGGCAUCAUCAGAUAGUUAAAGUGCUAGCGGUGAGAGAUGGCCUCGCGUCUGAUUAGUUAGUUGGUGGGGUAACGGCCUACCAAGACGACGAUCAGUAACCGGCCUGAGAGGGUGAACGGUCACAUUGGAACUGAGACACGGUCCAAACUCCUACGGGAGGCAGCAGUGGGGAAUCUUGCACAAUGGGGGGAACCCUGAUGCAGCGACGCCGCGUGAGCGAUGAAGGUUUUCGAAUCGUAAAGCUCUGUCCUAUGGGAAGAUAAUGACGGUACCAUAGGAGGAAGCCCCGGCUAACUACGUGCCAGCAGCCGCGGUAAUACGUAGGGGGCGAGCGUUGUCCGGAAUUACUGGGCGUAAAGGGUUCGCAGGCGGCAUGACAAGUCCGAUGUAAAAGGCGAAAGCUCAACUUUCGUAAGCAUCGGAAACUGUCAAGCUUGAGUGAAGGAGACGCAAGUGGAAUUCCUAAUGUAGCGGUGGAAUGCGUA